AUAUACAUAACAAGUUAUAUACUAUCAAUGUAUAUUGUAAAUUACCAACAACAUAUUCUGUAAUUUCCAAUUCCAAUCCAAAAGCAAUAGCAAAUGAUAGACAAUCAAAUCAAAUUCUAAUCCAUUCUAGAAGUUAUGCCCAACCAAAGCACAUUUGAAGUUUGCAAGUCAAAUUCCAGCAACUAUGAGCAAAUAUUGAAGAUCUCACUGGCUAAGUCAGCAGAACUUCUCUCAUAUUUUUAGCAAAACACUCAGUAGAACUUCCAUUCUCAGCAAAAUACCUAGCAAAACUCCCAAGUUCAGUUGUAAAAUAGUUUGUGCAACAUGAAUGAAUAAUAUCCAACAUUAUCAUUAAAAAAAAAAA
rnacentral:lncRNA from 1 species